rnacentral:rRNA from 1 species
GGAAUAUUGGACAAUGGGCGGAAGCCUGAUCCAGCCAUGCCGCGUGCAGGAAGACGGUCCUAUGGAUUGUAAACUGCUUUUGUACGGGAAGAACAAGGGCCACGUGUGGCCCGAUGACGGUACCGUAAGAAUAAGGAUCGGCUAACUCCGUUCCCGCAGCCGCGGUAAUACGGAGGAUCCGAGCGUUAUCCGGAAUCAUUGGGUUUAAAGGGUCCGUAGGCGGGCCGUUAAGUCAGGGGUGAAAGUCUGCAGCUCAACUGUAGAACUGCCCUUGAUACUGACGGCCUUGAGUUGCGGUGAAGUGGCCGGAAUAUGUAGUGUAGCGGUGAAAUGCAUAGAUAUUACAUAGAACACCGAUUGCGAAGGCAGGUCACUAACCGCACACUGACGCUGAUGGACGAAAGCGUGGGGAGCGAA